rnacentral:lncRNA from 1 species
GUGGUGGAGUAGGUAAAAGGGUAAGAGGAGAAGUUCUCAAAAGAAUCAAUAAAAGGGUGGUGGUGGUGGUGAUGCAUAUGAGAUUCCAAAGACAGGUGGUAUAGGCCCUUCAUAUACAGGUGGUGGUGGCGGCGAUGAAUAUACCGGUGGUGGAGGUGAGGGAUAUGCAUAUACUGGUGAUGGUGGGGGUGAGGUGUAUACCGGUGGUGGCGGUGAGGGAUAGGCAUAUACUGGUGAUGGUGGUGGUGAUGGGGAUGGUGGUGGGUGAUAAGGUGUUUGAUGUGGCGCUGGCGAUGAUGGUGGUGGAGGUUCUACACAAGGUGGCGGUGGAGGUGGUGGAGGUUCUACACAAGGUGGUGGAGAUGGCGGUGGUGGUGAAUAGACUGGUGGUGGAGGUGAGUGUACUGGAGGAGGUGGUGGGGGUGAUAAAUAUGGAUAUACGGGUGGAGGAGGUGAGUGAGGUGGUGGUGGUGGCGAA